rnacentral:lncRNA from 1 species
AAAAACUUUAUACUAAAAUAUACUGUAUUAUAUAUUUAUUGUGUAUCUACUUAUGUGGAGUCCAACAAAAUUAGAUUUUCUAUUUUAUGCUUUUUCUGUGAUUUAAUAUGAUUUUUCGAAUAUUCAGUCGAAAUAAUUAAAAAAAAGACAAACCACAUUACCGUAGCAAAACCACCAUUCACUGUAGUAAAACUGCCUUCAAAAUCUCUUCAGGGAGAUAAAAUAAAUGGUUUGAAAAGUUGAUGAAUGUGGUUUGCCUGGUUUUAGAGUUAAGAGAGAAAAAGUAAACUUUCAUAAAAAGUGAGGGUGCAAAAGUAGAUUUUUUUUUCUUUUUUUAUGAAACCGAGGCGCGGGGUAUGAAGUACCUAGCCAGAGGCCUCCUAGUCUCGCUGUGUAAGUCGGGAUGGUGGGUGUUAUAAAACAUAUUGCUAGUGGUUAGAAUCUUUCCCUCUUCGUCUCUUAUGAUUAAUACAGUGAAUUGAAAGUACAUAACAAAUAGACAUAAGAUAGGGAAACUAUUCUUUAUUUAUCUGAAUAUUGGUGAUUACAACAUAGAGCUCCCACGUAUAUAUAGUCCUGUCAAGGCUUAUGAGUUUUGGUAAGAGUCCACAUACAAAUAGACUAAGAUUAGGAUUUCUCCCCUUUUCUUUCUAAUUAUUGUUCAACCAUAGACUAACUACGCUCAAAAGACCCGUCUUACAAAUUACAAGCACACUGUACAAUUGAUUAUUUCUUUUAUCUAUAUUUAAUACUCUAUACAUACAUCCAAAAAUUCAAUAUGAUGAAAAAUCUUAAAAAAGUUUACGAACUAAACAAGGCUUUAUUAAAAUUUAGCCAUAGGACACCACGCCCUAGUCUCACUCUCCAAUUGUGUCACUCUCCUUUCCCAUCUCCAUGAAAAAGGCAACGGCAGCGAUGGCGGGGGCAUGGCGUUAGUGGGCGGGUGUUGUCGACACGAGAGUGCAAAGCUGAGGCCCGUUGAAGAUGGCGACAGGCUCGAACGCUUUGUCCUCAACAGAUCCGCAUGGAGCGCAAGGCACAGUCGUUGUGCCCUUUAUGUUAGGUGACGACAAUUAUGAAGCGGAUGUCCAGAACCUAAAACAACCUAGAUAAAUGAGUUCUACCCUUACAUGAAUCAUGACUGGAUGAGUUAUUUGUUAGAUGACGACAAUUAUGAAGCGG